rnacentral:rRNA from 1 species
UACGGGGGGGGCAAGCGUUGUUCGGAAUUACUGGGCGUAAAGGGCUCGUAGGCGGCCAACUAAGUCGGACGUGAAAUCCCCAGGCUCAACCUGGGAACUGCGUCCGAUACUGGAUGGCUUGAAUCCGGGAGAGGGAUGCAGAAUUCCAGGUGUAGCGGUGAAAUGCGUAGAUAUCUGGAGGAACACCGGUGGCGAAGGCGGCGUUCUGGACUGCAACUGACACUGAUGAACGAAAGCCAGGGGAGCAAACGGG